CGAAAAUGAAAAACGAACCCUCAUAUAUUUUGGGAAUAUGGCCCAACUGUUUCUACCUGGCGACCGGAAAUUGCCGGACUAUGAAGGAAAAUGGUAACGUU
rnacentral:ncRNA from 2 species